AGAGAGAGAGAGAGAGAGAGAGAGAGAGAGGUCCAGCGAGAGAGAGAAGAAAGAGAGCGCUUGAGUUCCAGAGUCCCAGAGAGAGAGAGAGAGAGAGAGAGACAGAGAGAGAGACAGAGAGAGAGAGACAGAGAGAGAGCGAGUUCCACAGCCCUGCGUGUCCCUGUUCUUCUGGUUUUCUCCUGAUACCCUGUGGUACACCACAGUAACCCCGGCUGUGGCUGGGCGCUGUGGUGUCGCUGUGGUCCUGCCCCAGGCUUCAAAGGCCCCAG
ensembl:lncRNA